GUGGGUUUUCCCAUCGUUGGACUUGGACUUGGGUGUCUGCCUUCUGGCUCGCCCCAAAUAUGUUAGUGGGACAAGCUGCCCUACGGCCCGACGUGAUAAGUUUCGUCAGACCCAAGCUCCCUCAUGCCUGCUCAUAACCCGCCCUCGGGCGACACUUUACUCUGGACCUCAAAUCAGGUAGGACUACCCGCUGAACUUAA
rnacentral:misc_RNA from 1 species